rnacentral:misc_RNA from 1 species
GAUGAAGAACGUAGCGAAAUGCGAUAAGUAAUGUGAAUUGCAGAAUUCAGUGAAUCAUCGAAUCUUUGAACGCACAUUGCGCCCGUCAGUAUUCUGGCGGGCAUGCCUGUUCGAGCGUCAUUACGCCCCUCAAGUCCCCUGUGGACUUGGUGUUGGGGAUCGGCGAGGCUGGUUUUCCAGCACAGCCGUCCCUUAAAUUAAUUGGCGGUCUCGCCGUGGCCCUCCUCUGCGCAGUAGUAAAACACUCGCAACAAGAGCCCGGCGCGGUCCACUGCCGAAAAACCCCCCAACUUUUUAUAGUUGACCUCGAAUCAGGUAGGACUACCCGCUGAACUUAAGCAUAUCAAUAAGCGGAGGA